rnacentral:rRNA from 1 species
UAGGGAAUCUUCCGCAAUGGGCGAAAGCCUGACGGAGCAACGCCGCGUGAGUGAUGAAGGUCUUCGGAUCGUAAAACUCUGUUAUUAGGGAAGAAUAAAUGUGUAAGUAACUAUGCACGUCUUGACGGUACCUAAUCAGAAAGCCACGGCUAACUACGUGCCAGCAGCCGCGGUAAUACGUAGGUGGCAAGCGUUAUCCGGAAUUAUUGGGCGUAAAGCGCGCGUAGGCGGUUUUUUAAGUCUGAUGUGAAAGCCCACGGCUCAACCGUGGAGGGUCACUGGAAACUGGAAAACUUGAGUGCAGAAGAGGAGAGUGGAAUUCCAUGUGUAGCGGUGAAAUGCGUAGAUAUAUGGAGGAACACCGGUGGCGAAAGCGGCUCUCUGGUCUGUAACUGACGCUGAGGCUCGAAAGCGUGGGGAGCGAACAGG